ensembl:lncRNA
CCCCCCCCCCCCCACCCCCGCCCUGGGUUUGUGACAACAUAAAACCAUGGAUGUAUUAUGUAAUACAUUCAUUGAAAGCAGUCUGGGAGGACAGGAAGCCACUCCAGCCAAUUCUAUUGAGACCAACCCCAUUCCACCCUAAUGGGCCUGCGUGGUCUUUUCAAAUAUAUAUAUAUAUAUAUAUACAUAUAUAUAUACACACACACGCACAUUUAUAUAUAUACCUUGUGCCUUUUUAAUUUGGCCAAUUUAUCCAUGGAUCACACAUUUUUGUAAAGAACUUGCCUUACUUUGUCCCUGUCUUUCCAAUUUUGGCCCACUGUUUAUUAAUGUUUAUCAAACUGGAGAGUGUGUUUUAGACGGUGUGUGAAUGGGUUGUUCAGAGUUUUAUUUGAAUGGUGUAUAUGUAAUAAAAUGUUUUUCUAUUCUAAAACCUACUGGCCGUUUUUGUACUUGGAUACCACUUUGAUGUACUUUUACUUAACACUCAAACUCAAAUAUUAUUGUAUGAUUGUUUUUUUGUUUUUUUUAUCGCUGUGAUACAAAACAUAUCUGUGUAAUUCUAUUCCUGAAUAUUUCUGCACUUUCCUAACUAGUAGUGUAUUAUUGUUGUAUCUACACAGCGGUGUUGAAUGUGAAGACAGGUGCUUAUAUUUGUCUUACAUUUUUAGAUAUGUGGCUUCAAUGAAUGAAUGAAUCUGGGAAGAAGUUCUGAAAGACCAACAGAGGCUCUGAGAAAGGAUACUUCAUUUCCAUUACCAGAGAAGAUGAGACCUCCACACAGACGGAACCUGCAACAGUCGAAUGACCGACUGUAAUUUAGUUUUUCUGCGUCCUCUUAUAGAGAAGAACCUCAUCAGAAGAUCCACGACAAAGGAAGACCAAGUGAGAGUAAGGAGACACCAGUAAAUCUACAUUUAGUCUCCAUACUUUGUAAAAAUACAGCACACACUAGCAGGAAUGUUGUAACAGAGUAUGUCAAAAUACAGUAAAAGAACAUCAGUGUAUAGUACUGUAUGUUGUGAAAAAAAGCGUGGAAAUCUUAUAGUAUAGCGGGCCAAAAAAUAUUCAGUAUGUUAAAAGCAAAAGCAGAGCAUUUUAAAUCGAUUAUACAGUUAAAGAGUCAUACGGGAGGUAUUUUAAAAAGUCAUAGUCAUAAAGAAACGUUGAAGCAUGUUCAAAAAAGAACAUAAUACAUACUCGAACUAUGGCAUGAUGAAAAGCAUGAAUGAUGUCUAAAUAUGUGAAAAUGAAUUAUUUUUAAAGAACACAGUAAAUGUCAGAGAGGAAUCAUACUAAAGUGAGGCGGACGUUUAACUACGGCAUGUAGUUGAAAAAGGUCGUAGCGUAGUGUGUCAAACAGUCCUAGAAUAUCUUCUAACAUGUGGAAAAAGUACUUAAAAAGGCAUAAAUAAAUAAAAUGCUCUUCUAUUUUCAUAUAGAACCGCCUGUCUGUCAUACAAAUAUAAUUAAACAAAUGAAGGAUUAGAUAAGUCAUAAAACAGUGUAGUACGCCAUAAAAGACACACCAUGUCUUAAAAAAAGCUCAUGGUAUAGUAUGUUAUAAAGAUUCAUGAUUAUAUCGCUCAUCAACAUUAUUUUAUGCGAUAAAUGGGUCAUUAAAACAUCAUGGUAUACUAUUAAAAAAUAAUUUGAUAAAACUACUUUAUCUGGGAAAACAGACUAUUUUCAUUUCAUAAAGGCGAGUAGAGAUGGAGUGUGUGCAAAUGACCCGAUACUAGUGUAUGAAUUAUUGUGUGUCUGUCCUUUAUUUGAGCAGCUGGAGCACCACAGGGAGGCUCAUCAAGUAUCCGUAUGAUUAAGCAUUAAAUGUGUUUCUUCCUGACAGACUGCAGCUUUCUGAAUUAAAUUGUACACAUAAUUAAAGUUCUUGAUGGAAAUAACAGAAAUUCAUUCUAAUAAAGAUGUUUGUGUUUUUUUCUUUUGCACUUCUCCAGCUGAACGAACAAAGAUUUGUUGAGGUUUGUGGGAAAAUGACAUAGCAAAGCUUGCUGAAAAAAGUGAUAUGUAAUAUUUUUUUAAUAAAACUUUAGAGCAAGACAAUAUUUUUUGGGGAAAAAACUGUCAACGUGCAGUAACCAAAAAAAGUCAUAAUAUAGCACGGUCUAAAAUAAUUAAGAAAGCUCAAAAAAAGUGAAAAGUGGUGAUUUUAAAGCAUGUUGAAAAUAGAGUGAAAAACGGUAAAAAAAAACGGUGAAAAAAGUAUUUUUAAAAAGCCAUAGUGUAGCAGGGAAAUUCAAUAAAUGAUGUGUUAAUGAACGGCUGGUGGAAUAGUGCAGGGGAACAGUAGUCUCAAAGAUCCAAGGUCCAAACCUGCUUUCAGAGUUUGUGGGUUUGAAUCCAGUUAUCGUUCUUGUAUGAAAUAGUUUUACAGAUCUACUCACAACCUCAAGGUGAAAUACGAGAACCGAAGCCAAGUGGAUAUAAGUGUGGUGGAAUACUGCAGGAGUUUAGCACACAGGCUGCACACCCAGAAUACUUGUAUAAACCUACUCUCAACCUCUCAAAGGUUGUUGGUACGAGUCCAGCGACGGGCAUAGCUCUGGUAUUGGAAAGUUUUCAGGUUCCUCUCGAAAUCUCAAGGUUAAAUACAAGAAACGAGGUAAUGAAACAUGUGCCUAGUGGAAUAGCACAGUGGUUAAACA